AAAGGCGUAAUGAAAGUGAAGGUCCGCCUUGCGCGGACCGAGGGAGGAUGGACGAUUUUUAACGAUCGUUCCGCACUCCCUGGGCGUCUCGUUCUCAUCGCGAGAAGAGGCGCACCAAGAGCGUACACGCUGGGACCCGAAAGAUGGUGAACUAUGCCUGGUCAGGACGAAGUCAGGGGAAACCCUGAUGGAGGUCCGUAGCGAUUCUGACGUGCAAAUCGAUCGUCGGAACUGGGUAUAGGGGCGAAAGACUAAUCGAACCAUCUAGUAGCUGGUUCCCUCCGAAGUUUCCCUCAGGAUAGCUGGCGCUCGCUUCUCGCGAGUCUCAUUCGGUAAAGCGAAUGAUUAGAGGCAUUGGGGUCGAAACGGCCUCAACCUAUUCUCAAACUUUAAAUGGGUGAGAUCUCCGGCUUGCUUGAACUGUGAAGCCGCGAGAUAUCGGAUCAGAGUGCCAAGUGGGCCACUUUUGGUAAGCAGAACUGGCGCUGUGGGAUGAACCAAACGCCGAGUUAAAGCGCCUAAAUCGACGCUUAUGGGA
rnacentral:rRNA from 1 species